GAAAGGCCAAUCAAACCGGGAGAUAGCUGGUUCUCCCCGAAAUCUAUUUAGGUAGAGCCUUGAGCGGACACCUUCGGGGGUAGAGCACUGUUUCGGCUAGGGGUCCAUCCCGGAUUACCAACCCGAUGCAAACUACGAAUACCGAAGAGUGAUACUCAGGAGACACACGGCGGGUGCUAACGUCCGUCGUGGAGAGGGAAACAACCCAGACCGCCAGCUAAGGUCCCAAAGUCUAUAUUAAGUGGGAAACGAAGUGGGAAGGCUUAGACAGCUAGGAUGUUGGCUUAGAAGCAGCCAUCAUUUAAAGAAAGCGUAAUAGCUCACUAGUCGAGUCGGCCUGCGCGGAAGAUGUAACGGGGCUCAAAUAUAGCACCGAAGCUGCGGCAUCAGACGAAAGUCUGUUGGGUAGGGGAGCGUUCUGUAAGCGGAUGAAGGUAGCUCGAGAGGGCUGCUGGACGUAUCAGAAGUGCGAAUGCUGACAUAAGUAACGAUAAAACGGGUGAAAAACCCGUUCGCCGGAAGACCAAGGGUUCCUGUCCAACGUUAAUCGGGGCAGGGUGAGUCGGCCCCUAAGGCGAGGCUGAAAAGCGUAGUCGAUGGGAAACGGGUUAAUAUUCCCGUACUUGGAUAAACUGCGAUGUGGGGACGGAGCAGGUUAGGUUAUCGCACUGUUGGAUAUGUGCGUUUAAGUUGGUAGGUGUGAAGUUUAGGCAAAUCCGGACUUCUAUAACACCGAGAGAUGAUGACGAGGCUCUACGGAGCUGAAGUAACCGAUACCACACUUCCAGGAAAAGCCACUAAGCUUCAGGUUUAUCUAAACCGUACUGAAAACCGACACAGGUGGUCAGGUAGAGAAUACUCAGGCGCUUGAGAGAACUCGGGUGAAGGAACUAGGCAAAAUAGCACCGUAACUUCGGGAGAAGGUGCGCCGGCGUAGAUUGUAGUCCCUCGCGGGCGAAGGUUGAACCGGUCGAAGAUACCAGCUGGCUGCAACUGUUUAUUAAAAACACAGCACUCUGCAAACACGAAAGUGGACGUAUAGGGUGUGAUGCCUGCCCGGUGCUGGAAGGUUAAUUGAUGGUGUAAUCGAAAGAGAAGCUCCUGAUCGAAGCCCCAGUAAACGGCGGCCGUAACUAUAACGGUCCUAAGGUAGCGAAAUUCCUUGUCGGGUAAGUUCCGACCUGCACGAAUGGCAUAAUGAUGGCCAGGCUGUCUCCACCCGAGACUCAGUGAAAUUGAAAUCGCCGUGAAGAUGCGGUGUACCCGCGGCUAGACGGAAAGACCCCGUGAACCUUUACUAUAGCUUGACACUGAACAUUGAAUUUUGAUGUGUAGGAUAGGUGGGAGACUAUGAAGUAGUCACGCCAGUGAUUAUGGAGUCGUCCUUGAAAUACCACCCUUUAACGUUUGAUGUUCUAACGAAGAUUACGAAACGUGGUCUCGGACAGUGUCUGGUGGGUAGUUUGACUGGGGCGGUCUCCUCCCAAAGAGUAACGGAGGAGCACGAAGGUUUGCUAAUGACGGUCGGACAUCGUCAGGUUAGUGCAAUGGUAUAAGCAAGCUUAACUGCGAGACAGACAAGUCGAGCAGGUACGAAAGUAGGUCAUAGUGAUCCGGUGGUUCUGAAUGGAAGGGCCAUCGCUCAACGGAUAAAA
rnacentral:rRNA from 1 species